CGUUUUUGCUUCCAGAAAUGGUUUAGCUUGUGGGAGCUGGAUUUGCUCUGUUGUGUGGGAGUCACUGAACUCCCACAGAUGGCUCCUAGCCACGGAUCCUGGAUCUGGCAAUUUAGGUGAUAUUUAAUGUUGAGCCAUCACAUUGUCCAGUGAGACAUCAAAGAAUAUGAACAUUACACUCAGCAUCCUUUCUGAGCCUGGUCUGCCGCAAUCUUCCUUCUGGAAGAUCUUUGAUAAAGAACAACAUUUGAGACCUCAAACAUCAGAAAUGACUUUGUAGAAAUCACCCUAAACCUCUUUUGGCAAAGAGUUCAGCUAGAGCUAUUCCACAGGGUGAGAUAGAGGAGGCCACACAGAAUUGAGGACUAAGUGAGCAAUAUUUGAUUGCCUUACUGAUAUUUGACUCAUUCUGGAUCAAUGCCAACAUUAACUGAUAGAGUUCUCGCCGUACUGUGUAAGGAACAAUUUUUAUAAUGCUGAUUUCA